GAUUCUAAACUAAACUAUUUUCUG
rnacentral:tRNA from 1 species